rnacentral:tRNA from 1 species
AUUACUAUAGUUUAAAUCAAAACGUUGAAUUGUGGUUUCAAAAUUAUUAGUAAUA